rnacentral:rRNA from 1 species
UACGGGGGGGCAAGCGUUGUUCGGAAUUACUGGGCGUAAAGAGCUUGUAGGCGGUUUGUCGCGUCUGCUGUGAAAAUCCGGGGCUCAACCCCGGACUUGCAGUGGGUACGGGCAGACUAGAGUGUGGUAGGGGAGACUGGAAUUCCUGGUGUAGCGGUGAAAUGCGUAGAUAUCUGGAGGAAUACCGGUGGCGAAGGCGGCAUCCUGGACCGGCAUUGACGCUGAGGAGCGAAAGCCAGGGGAGCAAACGGGG